AUUGUGGUCACUGAAGAUGGCAAUGAACAAAACAAAGUCCCUGCCUCCAUGGAGCUUAACCACUAUCCUAUAGUGCCCCAAAUUACAUGUCUUCCCUAAGGGGCUCUCCCAGAUUAAUACCACCCAGUUUCUAACCUACCUGGAUAAUCUCAACUCUUCUUCCAUUUCACAAUACACUUAAGUAGUUUAAAAAUUCAGAGUUUUAUAUUUUAGCUAAUGUGCCUGCUUUGAAACUUUUAGGUGCCAAUAGACAAUGUACCUUAGGCACCUUGAUGCACAAUCUUACCCUCUGGGGAUGACCACAAAAUUCAAUAUAACUGCUAUUUUCUAGACUAUGUUACAAUGAGAGAGAGAGAGAGAGAGAGAGAGAGAGAGAGAGAAAGAGAGAUACAUGGGAAAAUCAUUGGACCCACUUCCAAAAGAGGUUUCAUUAUAUUGUAUCUGAUGAAAGCGUUAAAAAUCCAGUUUAUUUUUCAUCAAAAAUGGUCAUGAAGCCAAUUUAGGAUUUCCUGAAUGAAGUUUGCAAUUUAGGAGUAGAGCAUUUAACCCAAAAGCCAUGGACCAUGCUGGCUUUGGACAUCAACCUGAGCUUUAUUAAAACAUUCACACCUAGGGAAAUUUCUAGAUAUUUUAACUGUAAUCAAUUAAGCUAGGUGUUACAGGGACAGCCAUAUGUUUUUCUGUUUGUUUUAUCUGACUUAGAGAAAGUGCAAUGGGGGAUAGACUUAGUAUGGAUUAAAAGGGAUACAUUUGUAUGGCUUUCGGUCACUUCCUAGUUAUUGCAGGUUAUCCUGGCAUAAGUAUGUGCAUUAGUCCAUUCUCACACUCCCAUGCAGAACUACCUGAGACUGGGUAAUGUAUAAGCGACAUCUUGGACCUCUCCUAAACCAGUCAGUCAUUAAGAUUUUUUCAUGUCAGAUAAGAGAACACUAAAAACUGAAAACAAUUUCCUCCAUCCUCUUUUUAACAUUUAAAAUAUUAUUGUCACUGCAUUCUGUAUGCUAAAAUAUGAUCUUUUUUUGCUCUUUGUAUCGGUUAGGAUAAAUUACUAAUGCUGUAGCAAAGAGCCCCUACAUGAUGGAGGCUUUCACAUUCGAGGUUUAUUUUUCAUUCAUGUCACAAGCUACUGCUGCUGCAUGCACUCAGCGACCCCUAUUCCUUCUGUUUAGUAUUCUCCAAUGGCUUCUCUGGGUCUGAAUUAGAGAAAGAUGGGAUUAGAGAAAACUCAUGGAUUAUGGUGAUCAUAGAAACAAGGCAAGACAGUGACAUGCUUCAUUUCUGCCCACAAUUCAUUAUAUCAAAUGGCUUAUAAGCUUCUGGAGUCAACUGUGUGAUCUUCAAAACUGGCAACCUGAGAACGGAGCAGGAAGUAAGUGGUUCAGCUUUGGAUACCCUGGUGGAUAGCGCUCUGAGAGUGGGAAGCAUGCCUUGUUCAGGUAAGGUCCUCUCUUCUAAAUUUGUGGAGUAUUUUGUGCAUGGUGGACAAUAAAUCACCAAUUUGUAAAGUUUCAGAAUUCAUGGCUUUUUGCCACCAAAUGGUUUGGUGUUGGGCUUUAUUUUACUUUUUUGUUUUAUAUCAAGCAUACACCUGUGUUCUAUGUAAUAUAGGUCAAAGAGGGGGGUGUUUUUAAAAAGUCUGGAAUAAAUUAAUUCCUGUUUUCCUUCUGUUAUAGUUUGAGAGAUGAUCUUUAUGUGAUACUGGCUCCUGAAGUCUUUGCUUUCACUCCUUCAAUUUAAGUGUUCACAAAUGAACACUUAAAUUCAGGAGCACUUCCAGUUUGUAAAGAAAUUGCAGUGAGUCCUCAUCAUGCAAAGAUUCCUUCUGAAUGUUUGCUAGUGAUCCCUUUGUUUCCUAAGCUUGAGUUUUUGUUUAUUGGCAUUUAUUUUUUAAAGCAGGGCAUUGCCUUAUCCACAAUUCUGGAUGCAUGGCUAUUUGGGAGAAUUGAAUGCAGCUGGAGUUGGGGUGGGAAUUAUUCAAAAGCUACUCAAAAGACUUAUUAAACAAAAAGUCAGGAGCAUAGAUUCAAGGUCACGAGUUAGAACCCUGGGGUCAGAACGAGCUCAAUUCUCUUGGAAAUAAUAAGGCUGACCUUUCAGGAGGGCGGUUUUGUGAAGAUGGCCAUAUAGAUAGCACUUGGGAUUCACAUGCAAGAGAAACAUUUUUGGCAAAUGCACUCAUUGCCUUUUGCUCUUACUUCAGAGCUGCAAGAGUUAUGGGAACCACUCUCGGAUUCAGGACUGCUUUCAAAGAAGCAAGGGCUUCUUAUACAGCCCUACUUCCGGGCAGCCAUUUUGUAUUCCUGUGAGGGGCCCAGGGAACAGAGAUGGAAGUGUCUGAAAUACGGGGGUGGAGAGGAAGUUCAGGAAAGAGGCUAGGGCAACCAGGCUGCUUGUCAAACAAGUGGAGAAGGCGUAGGAGGAAAAGCCAUUUGGUGUUUCUCUUUCUCUCUUUUGAGUACCUUUUCCAGGAGCUACUCCUCUGACUCUUGAAGAGGGAUGGUCACUCCAGUGAGAUGCUACCUCUCUGUGCAUAAAGGCCCCACAGGUGGCCUGACCCUCGUGGGGCUUGGGCUUGGAGGAUUUCCUGCCCCGAUCGAAGAGUCCCAUUGUUUUCUCCCCCCUCCCCUAGCUGUAGUUAGAAUUAUCCUGGGGGCAUAGAAUAGGGCAGAGUUAACUGUUCACCGUGGGGUUGUACCCUCCUUGCAAGUCUUACUAUGCUCAGUGUCUUGAUUGACUCUAUCUCACUGGGCUGAGUAGACAAAAAACUGGACCCUCAUUGGCACCCUCUCUGCCCUGGCCUGCAGCUGCUCUGUGCUCGGCCUGGGGAGGCCAGGGACACCUAUCUGCUGGCUGACACAGGAAAGGGAAUAAACGCUGGGAAGGGAGAUCCUAAACCCUUCUCCUGUGGUCCCAAACUUAGGCUAAGCAGGUAGCCACCCAUACAAAAAGUACAGAAAGGCUGGCAACUACAUAAUCUGUCGCUUCCAUAGGGUCACUUCUGUGAGUGAAAAGGGGCAUUAAAUAGUUAUGUUUGGGCAACAGGAAAGACCUGGGUACCUUGAUGUCAACUCAAUUGGCAGACAUUUCCUAAGCAUCUCUGUAAUAGACCUGUCGCUUCCGUAAUUGGAUACAGACGUGUCAACAAGUAAUGACAAGAUAGAGUUAGGUGGAACUCUAAUAAUGGAAGCAGGUACACAGGCAACAAAAAGAGGGCAACGUUACUUUCUGGGGGCAGGGGUGGGGGAAUAGUCAGGAAGCCUUCAAAGCAAGGGGCUUAGAAAGAUAAAGGUUUCAUAGGCAUAUAGAUGAGGAAAGGGAUUCUAGAAAGAGAACAGCAAAUGAAAGUCACAGAUACCUGAAAAUACACAGCAUGUGGGAGGGAUUGGAAGAAAAGUGGCAAUGAUGGAGAGCAAAUGUGAAGUAGGAGAGUCAGGACUCAGGCCAACUGAAUCCCGUCACGAUGCCACAUCAGCCAGCUUGCACAUGCUUGUGAGAGCAGGAGCAGCAAACUGUGGCCCUUGGGACAAUUCAGCCUGCUGCCUGUUUUUGUGAAUCAAGUUUUAUUGGAAUACAGCCGAGCUCAUUGAUUAGGUAGCAACUAUGGCUGCUUUCACGUGAUAACAACAGAGUGAGUAGUUGCAACAGAAACUAACACUAGGUUAGUUAGUUAUCUAAAUAGUUAUGUUUGGGCAACAGGCAAGAACUGGGUACCUUGAUCUCAACUCAAUCAGCAGACAUUUCCUAAGCAGCUCUGUAACAGGCCUGUCCCUUCCAUAAUUGGAUACAGAUGUGUCAACAAGUAAUGACAAGAUAGAGUUGGGGAAACUCUAAUAAUGGAAGCAGGUGCAAAGCCUGCAAUAUCUACUAUUUGUUUCUUUAUAGACAAAGGUUGGCAAGUCCUGGCUAACAGCCAUGGUGGAAACACUGAAGGACUUUAAGUAAUGAUGUAACCAUGUCUCUGAUUUAGAAAGAUCUCACCAUAUCAGAUGGGCGAUAGACUGGGGAAGGAAGAAAGGUGGGAGGCUACUGUGACAGGCUUUGAUUCAUGCAAACAGCCUUUCCUGAGGGCCCACUCUGUGCCAGACACUGUGCCAGACUGGAUGCAGAGAUGAGGACACAAUCCACUCCUUAUGACCACUGCAAACAAGAACAGGUAAAAGCCUGGACCAAGGCAGUAGAAAUGAGGAUGGAUGGGAGGGGAUAGACCAGAGAGAGGUUUAGAGAGUUAGAGUGAGAGAUUCUGGGGCUCCGGGUUUGGGACCAGGUGGUUGACAGUGUCCUUCCCUGAGAUGGGGACACUAAGGAGAAGCAGUUUUACUUCCAUUUCACUCCCCCUUAACCCUUUUGAACUUGCUACACUUGCCUUAUGAGACGAAAUUCUUAAGAGAUUUCAAGAGAUAGAGUGGUUUUAACUGGAUUUAGAUCUAUCUGAGACAGGCACCUAAACAAAAACUAACUUAACCAAGUAUUGCCAUCUUAAUUCAUUGUCACUUAGAAAAGAGCCAAGCCCCCACUGAAUUUGAAGGAAAAGGUCCUGCCUGGAGCCAUGGAAUACCCCUGCUGUAGCUGCUACCCUGAGCUGACAGGUAGAAGGGACUGAUUUCCUCAUGCUGGUGACCCCAAUAGGUGCUCCACAAAUAUGCAUUGGAUGAAAGUCUGAGACCAAAUCACUUAGGGUCUUGGCAAAUAAAGAGGGCACACUCAAGGGCUUCAAUCGGAGACUGUUUAGUCAGGGGCUCUGGACAGACAUGUCGGCAGGUGAGUGGAGCAUUGGAGAUGGUGUGAGGCAGCCAGAGGCUAGCAACAGCAGAAACCAUCCCCUCUUCUAAGCUUGAAGGAGAAGAAGAGGCAUAACCAAAACAAAUGUGAAACAGCGAUCAAUCAGAGAGAGCUGGGGCUGUAAGGAACUCCAGCCACUGCUGAAACCGUGACCUGGCAUAGAGCAACAGAGGCAUAGCUAGGGGAAGAGGAGGAGUGAACACUCUAGCUCUAACACUCCAACUCUCACCCCUAUGCUCUCAUCUGCUGGUAUCUCCAUUGGGUACGUUCCAUCAGAUCCCCCAGCCGGGGACCAAGGUAACACAGCAAGUGGGGCCAUCUCCCUCACAUACAGAGCCUGGAAGAGAAGAGCCUUUUUCUGAUUCCUUUUAGUUUUGCAAGCUUGGUAUGGUCACACUUUAUUGAAUUGGUAGUGGCAUUACUGAAGUACUUGGACAGACAUCAUUAUUUAGAUAAAUAAUAUUCAUUGGUUGCAUAUUCUUGCAGUUCUGGAGCACCUAAGAAGUGCCAGGUACUUUACUAUGAGUCACAUACAGAGAUGGCUAGAGGGUCUUGCAAAGAUAUUGCCAUCUGAGGGCACCCAUGAACACAAAACUUUUAAGUAUUCCAGCAGUAUAGAUUACUGGAAGUGGAGUCCUGGGCCAGGGGGAAUUCAUGCUUUCUGUUUGGUAGACACUGACAAAUCACCUGUCUAAAAGGGCCGAUGUACACUCUACCAGGAUUAGAGCGUGCCUUUUUAUUUAUUUAUUUAUUUUCAUCAUGCUUUCUCUUGGUCCCUGAUGAGGUUAAGCAUCUUUUCACAUGUUUUUCAGUCCUUCAUAAUUUUUCUUUUGUGAAAUACAGUAUUUAGAGCUUGGUGUCUGAAAUCAGACUGCUAGGCGGAUGCAAACUCUGUCUUUGCCACUCAUGAGCUGUGUGAUCUUGAGCAAGAUAUUUAACCCUUCAGUACUCCCCUUCCUCAUGAGUAACAUGAGGAUAGUGUCAUUAGCUACUCUUUGGGGUUUUGCAGACUAAGUGCUUAGACACUGCCUGGCACAGGGUAAGCUUGAUGUAAGGGUUGGCUAUUGUAAUAUUUGACCAUGUCUUUUUGCUUAUUUUUCUCUCCUAAUGAUGUUAAAGGGUGACCAGAGUUGAAGACCACAAGGCAGAAAACAGCCUGUUUCUGUGGCUCUUGAUAGAUGUAUACAUACACACACACAUACACAGAGCAACAGGACUGAAUCAUCCUGUUUCUGAAAUGGUCUUCUGGCUCCUGUGUUGUGAUGUGCACUCAGAUGAUAACAUUUCACUUUCCUACCUGGACCACAGACAAGGGUAUGUGCUGAUGAGUGGAGGGCCAUUUGAGUGCUUUGGGUUUCCUGGCAACUCUGGAAUCUUGAGUUGUUGGAAUUUGACCAGAGGUUCUCCCAGAGUGAGUUUGCUGCAGGGAGUGACAGCUGCCCCCUGUGCAUUGUUCAGGGCAAGCCUAGAGGUCCUUGAGCCUUUGCUCUGGCAGCCACCAGAUGGAACCCCUGGAGCUCUGGGCUAUAGGAGGCCAGGUGCUCUGUACUCUCACUUGCAGUGGGCUGAGGGCUGUGGUUGUGGCUGCCUGCGCUAUUGCUGCCAUUGGGGAGAUCACACGCCCACAAGGGGAAUGCCUCAAGUGAAUGAAAAAAAAA